GACGAACGCUGGCGGCGCGCUUAACACAUGCAAGUCGAGCGAGAACCAGCCCUUCGGGGCUGGGGACAGCGGCGAACGGGUGAGUAACACGUGGGUAAUCAACCCUCGGUACUGGGAUAGCCCGGGGAAACCCGGAUUAAUACCGGAUGGCCCUUCGGAUCUUCGGUUCUGAAGGAAAAGGUAGCUUCGGCCUCCGACCGAGGACGAGCCCGCGGCGGAGUAGCUUGUUGGUGGGGUAACGGCCUACCAAGGCGGCGAUCCGUAGCUGGUCUGAGAGGAAGAUCAGCCACACUGGGACUGAGACACGGCCCAGACUUCUACGGAAGGCAGCAGUGGGGAAUCUUGCGCUAAUGCGGGAAACCGUGACGCAGCGACGCCGCGUGAGGGAAGAAGGCCUUCGGGUUGUAAACCUCUUUCAGGAGGGACGAAGCUACUCAGGUUAAUAGCCGAGAGGGUGACGGUACCUCCAGAAGAAGCCCCGGCUAACUACGUGCCAGCCGCCGCGGUAACAC
rnacentral:rRNA from 1 species